ACCGCGGCUAGCUCGGAAUAUGACCCGGUUUAAACUUAUUCGACUAUUUUAUAGCCUACUAUUAAAUCCUAAAUUACUUAACCACAUAUUACUGCAUUUCAACUUUCCUAGUUUAAGCUACAUGUCAUUUGGAGAAAAUUUAAAUAGGGAUUUAUUUUUUAACAACCACACACAAGCAUUAAACAAGUAAAUAAAAUUGAGGGGUGUCAAAUUAAGAGCCAAAAUUCUCUAAUCAGGAUAAACCGCUGCCAUGUAGUUUAGGUUUUAUUUUACUACCUAAAAAAGUUUUCAUACCUGGCUUCUACCCCAGUUUUGUUGGUGAAUUUAUUUGUUUUAACUUUUUUUCUUUACACCGCAGAACUGAAAAAGAAAAAAAAAUUUAAAAAAUUAAGUUUAUAAAAUUUUAUUUUAAAAGUC
rnacentral:rRNA from 1 species